rnacentral:misc_RNA from 1 species
CAACCCUCAAGCCCUAGCUGCUUGGUGUUGGGGUGUUCUCUACAGCAGCUUUUAAAUGGCGCUGUAGGCCCCGAAAGACAUUGGCGGGCUCGCCGCGAACCCAAGCGUAGUAAAUAUCAUUCUCGCUUAGGGGCUUGUAGCGAGUUUCUGGCCACAAAACCCACUAUAAUUACAGAA